rnacentral:piRNA from 1 species
UUGGAAUUAGAUGGAUGCCCAGAAUGGU